AAAAUUAUAGAAAAUAAAUAAAGACAAUAAUAAAUCAGCACAGAAAUCUUCUACACGAGCACAGCGGCAGCGAUAACGAGGAUCAAAGCAGAUCCACCGAGUCUGUUCAAAACGGCACCGUUUGCAGCAGGUCCUGGUGCUUCACUUGGUGGACUCGAGAUGGUGGAGGGAGGGGUGGUGGGAGUAGCGGCAGCGUUUGGGGAUUCAGAAGGAGACGCAGGUGGAGCAGGAGGAGAUGCUCCGGUGGCGGGUGGAGAAGCCGGUGAAGCAGCCGGUGAUUCAGACGGCGUUGGAACCACGGCAGGAGAUGGAGCCGGAGACAAUGACCUCCUCGGGGGAGUGGCGACGGGAGUGUUGGUUGGCGACAAG
rnacentral:lncRNA from 1 species